rnacentral:rRNA from 1 species
AUUGAACGCUGGCGGCAGGCCUAACACAUGCAAGUCGAACGGCAGCACAGAAGAGCUUGCUCUUUGGGUGGCGAGUGGCGGACGGGUGAGUAAUGUCUGGGAAACUGCCCGAUGGAGGGGGAUAACUACUGGAAACGGUAGCUAAUACCGCAUAACGUCGCAAGACCAAAGUGGGGGACCUUCGGGCCUCACACCAUCGGAUGUGCCCAGAUGGGAUUAGCUAGUAGGUGGGGUAAUGGCUCACCUAGGCGACGAUCCCUAGCUGGUCUGAGAGGAUGACCAGCCACACUGGAACUGCGACACGGUCCAGACUCCUACGGGAGGCAGCAGUGGGGAAUAUUGCACGAUGGGCGCAAGCCUGAUGCAGCCGUGCCGCGUGUAUGAAGAAGGCCUUCGGGUUGUAAAGUACUUUCAGCGGGGAGGAAGGCGGUGAGGUUAAUAACCUUGCCGAUUGACGUUACCCGCAGAAGAAGCACCGGCUAACUCCGUGCCAGCCGCCGCGGUAA